rnacentral:rRNA from 1 species
UACGAAGGUUGCGAGCGUUGUUCGGAAUCACUGGGCUUAAAGCGCAUGUAGGCGGCCUUUCAAGUGCCUUGUGAAAUCCCACGGCUCAACCGUGGAAUUGCUUGGCAUACUGUCGGGCUUGAGGCAGGUAGAGGCGCGUGGAACUCUUGGUGGAGCGGUGGAAUGCGUAGAUAUCAAGAGGAACGCCGGUGGCGAAAGCGGCGCGCUGGGCCUGUCCUGACGCUGAGAUGCGAAAGCCAGGGGAGCAAACGGG